rnacentral:rRNA from 1 species
CGUGUAGGCGGUUGGGCAAGUCAGAUGUGAAAGCCUUCCGCUCAACGGAAGAAGGGCAUUUGAAACUACCCAGCUAGAGUACGGGAGAGGAGAGUGGAAUUCCCGGUGUAGAGGUGAAAUUCGUGGAUAUCGGGAGGAACACCGGUGGCGAAGGCGGCUCUCUGGUCCGAUACUGACGCUGAAACGCGAAAGCGUGGGGAGCAAACAGGAUUAGAUACCCUGGUAGUCCACGCCGUAAACGAUGGGCACUAGGUGUAGGAGGUAUUGACCCCUUCUGUGCCGAAGCUAACGCAUUAAGUGCCCCGCCUGGGGAGUACGGCCGCAAGGCUAAA